UGAAUCAAAAGAUCAAUAGAGGUUUGCUGAAACUAACAAAAUGCUUGAUCACCUCUCCCUGGGGAUGUGACUGUUGCUCAGGUGCCUUCCAAGAUUUUGUCUGGAAACAUCUUUCAGGUUUUAGGAUUAGCUGGUGGCUGUGGGAGGUACCACUGGAAGGAGCCAUGCACGUGUACCUCCAAGUACUUCCUGUUCAACAUGACUCCCAGCUGGCUUCCAAGGCAACAACUCUGUUGCUUCCUUCUUCUCCUUGGAGCUGAAACCUUCUGCAAAGAGGAUAGCUGUCCCGAGACAAAUGAGGGCAUGGACUAAGUAAUGCAUUGUGAAUGGUGCAUUGCUACAGUACGGAAAUGAAGGAUGACAUCAGACCAACUGAUCUCAUUCCUGGGUCACUGCAGGCUGUGCUGGCAGACAUUUGCCUUGGAAGGCUGACAGUUUGCCUGAAACAUCCAUGUUACAAAUGGGAUGCUCACCUGAACCUCGGAGGUUAUUUUUGGAAAUACCUCACCUCCGCUGCAACUUCUGCACUCCUCCAUGCAUCUUGCUCCUCCUUGUAUAAUAAAAGUCAUUCAGCUUUUUGUUUGACCUCUGGAAUUCCAGUAACACCACUUCUGUUACCCUUUUCUAUCAGGUGGGCACAACUAUCACAUGGAAGCAGAAAUUCCCAUCUGCAUUCUGACUGUGAG
rnacentral:lncRNA from 1 species